rnacentral:lncRNA from 15 species
CCUAAAUAUUAGUUGUGUUCUGGGUUGAGAAUGAUGAAGGCAGUCAGAGAACAAUUAGAUAAUAAACAGGAUGAAGGUUUUAUUGGGCAGCUAUCAUGUUUUUUAGUGCCAAUAGCUGCUGUCAGUGGGGGAAAAAACAUGCUCCCAGACCCCCCCAUCUGCCCCCUGGUGCAGAAAAUCUGCAGCUAGAAGAUUACAGGAACAUGACUUACAAGAAGUGAGCUGCUCAGAUAAGAAACUCUGCUACAGUCAGGCAGACGGACAAAAACAGAGCCUGAGUUCACUUUCACACUUUAUUCAAACAGACUUUCACAACAGACUUUCUUUCUGGUUGGAGGAUCAGCAGGACGCAGAGACCUCCAUCAUGGGCAUCGCUGAUGAGUUGGUGGAGCUGAUUUACUCCUGGAUUGAGCAGAAGCAGCACUGUGCAGAGAAGCUGAGCAGCAUCCUGAAAGAGGCUCAGGAGAUAGAAGAGAAGUGCAACAAAAUUGCAGAAAGACUCCAGGAGCGGCCUCAGCAACUGAUGGAGACGAGUCACUGUCCAGAACCAGAGCAAGUGGACAAACAAGUCAUGACUGAAAUUCUGAGAGCCAUGGCCAGACGAACUGGACAGAAUCUAAAGAUCGAUUUCACCAUACUUUAUUUUGAGUUACAGUCUUUUUUAAAUAAAGUACUGGGACGUAUUUCCAUCAUCAUCAGGUUGUGGGAGGAGUUAUAUUGGUGUUUAAACUUGCUGAGGUGA